CGCUCUGGUGGUCUAGCGGUUAGAGCAUCCACCUCGGAUGCGGGAGGUUGUGGUUCGAUUCCCAGCUGAGUCA